UUUCUCAUUUCUCUCUCCCAAAUUGCUUUGUCUCAUUUCUCUCUCCCGAAUUGUUAUCUCCCCCUUCUUUGUUCCUUCUUUCCAUUUUUUUCAUUCUUCCCGUUUUUUUGUAUUUUCUUACAUCUAAAGCUGUGAUUUUUUACACCAAAAUUGUUAUUUUUAUCUUAGAUUCCAUGACAACGAUAUCAUAUUUGCGUUCCUCUCCAAGUUUGUAUUUCUAUUUGACCGUGACUAACUAUUGUUCUUCCUUUGCAACACAAAAGCUUCAAUUUUUUUGUGUUUUCUGUUUUUUGUGUUAUAAUGACUUUUCGCAGGACAAGAGGUUAAAUUUUUUGGUGUUUCUGAGCCUUCUCCGACGUACCCAAAGGCUGGAGCUUUUUUGCUGGGUUUGCUAGUUCUUUGCUUGAUUUGAUCGAAAAAUGAUUUAUGGGUUCUUUUCUCUCCUAUCUUUCUACGUUUUCUUUUUUCAUUUGAUUUAUUUGACUGUGACUGACUAUUGUUCUUCCUUUGCAACACAAAAGCUUCAAUUUUUUUGCGUCUUAUGUCUUUGUUUUGUGUUAUAAUGACUUUUCGCAGGACAAAAGGUUAAAUUUUUUGGUGUUCCUGAGCCUUCUCCGACGUACCCAAAGGCUGAAGCUUUUUUGCUGGGUUUGGCAGUUCUUUGCUUGAUUUGGCCUAAAAAUUAUUUAUGGGUUUUUUUCUCUCCUAUCUUUCUACGUUUUCUUUUUUCAUUUGGUUUAUUUGAUGGUGGCUGAGUAUUGUUCUUCCUUUGCAAGACAAAAGCUUCAAUUUUUUUGUGUCUUCUGUCUUUGUUUUGUGUUAUAAUGACUUUUCACAAGACAAGGUUAAAUUUUUUUGUGUUCUUGAACCUUCUCCGACAUAAAGUUGUCACCGAGAGCAAAUAGUGUUCGGCAUUUGAAGGACAGUCUUAUUGAGUCUUAUUUGACUGUGGUUAACCUACUCUUCUUCCUUUGCAAGACAAAAGCCAUAGAUCAUAGUAUGUUGGAUAAAUUACAGGGGAAAGCUUCGUUUUUUUCUUUACUCAGAUGAACAUAGUUCGAUUGCCGAUGUUCUGCCUUAAUAGCACAAUAUUGAAAAAUAUGGAUCUUUGUGUUGCAUUCGCUACCUAUUUUUAUCUUUUUUUGUGUUGCAUGUUUGAGUUCCUUUCUUUAUCAUGUUCAUUUUUGUAUUACUUGAAAAAAAUGACGUUUAUUACUAUGAUUAACUUUGAGGUUCACGAGUGAUCUUCAGUCUUCUCUAAUGUUCCCGUUCUUAUUAUGGCAACGUAUUGUACAAAAUCCCUAUGUAGAUAUUCUUGGCAUUUGUACUUAUACCGGUUAAAAAUAAAAUAGAAAUUACUUUUAA